rnacentral:rRNA from 1 species
AUUGAACGCUGGCGGCAGGCUUAACACAUGUAAGUCGAUCGAGCGGUGGACGGGUGAGUAAUGUCUGGGAAACUGCCUGAUGGAGGGGGAUAACUACUGGAAACGGUAGCUAAUACCGCAUACCAUCAGAUGUGCCCAGAUGGGAUUAGCUAGUUGGUGGGGGAAUGGCGCACCUAGACGACGAUCCCUAGCUGGUCUGAGUGGAUGACGAGCCACACUGGAACUGAGACACGGUCCAGACUCCUACGGGAGGCGACAGUGGGGAUUAUUGCACAAUGGGCGAAAGCCUGAUGCAGCCAUGCCGCGUGUGUGAAGAAGGCCUACGGGUUGUAAAGCACUUUCAGAGAGGAGGCGUUACUCGCAGAAGAAGCACCGGCUAACUCCGUGCCAGCAGCCGCGGUAAUAC